rnacentral:lncRNA from 1 species
GAGCUUUGAUUGCUAAGAAUCAAUACCAAGCCUGAUCUUCUUGUGAUUGGCAUUACCUAUGAUAAUUUAUAUUAUAUUUGUUAAAGCUUCAUACUGUUGUUUGGCCCUUUCAAGUUUGAGCCUUUAGGUCAAUUCAUAAGUUUACAUGGCAUCGGAGUAGGUUUAUCCAUGUCUGUACAAAUUCCCUUGAACACAUAUUCUAUUGAUUAUUGAAACUAUAAUUAAUUCAGAGUGAAGUGUGCUGCUUUUGUUUGAUUUUGGAUGUGAGGGGAGUUUUAAGCUCAAAUACUAUUGUUUAGGUCCCAUCUUCAAGUUUAAGCUUAGGUCAAGGGGUAAAUUAACAAUGCGUAAACCAUUGAGUUCUAGGUUGGUAGUUUUCAUCAACUAACGCCUUUGUUGUAUUCUUUUCAUUUUGAUUUCUAUUAUUUAGCUUUAAUUUAAUAAUUUUUCAUAUAUUUUCAAAUGAGCUUAAAAGUUGAUUAUAUGAACCAACCACAGCAAGAGUCAUGCGUUAAAUUAUUAGAAAACAAUUGUUAUCGCAAGUGCCUUUGCUUUAAAAAUUAACGUGAUGAUAACUACUGUGAACUUGCUGCAAGAAUGUGGUCUAGAAGAUGAUGAUUCUGAUAGGACUUAGGGCUAAAUUAAGACUGACUUUUAUUGAUUAAAUCAAAAGAAAACUAACAAUCAAUCCUGACCUACAAUUCGAGAGGUAGGUCAAUCUCUCCCAAAACUCCUAAUGGUUCCUAAUACCAGACAAUACUCAACAUAAACCCUAAAUGACUCCAUAAUCUCUUAUUUAUAGCUAAACCCUAAUUAAUAAUAAAGUUACUAAAUUGCCCCUGCCCCUAAAAUUACUAAACAGCCCCUGCUCUUUUAUAUUUGCGCCUAACAUAAGUUUUCAUGGGUCUAACAUUACUCCCCUCCCAAAAAGACACCUUGUCCUCAAGGUGAAAUCUAGGAAACUGCUGCCUCUUCUUCCUCGCCUUCUUCCUCGUCACACACAGUCAGGACUUGUAGUGAUUUAUCCUUACAUCGAUGCCCUGGUGAAAAUUUCUCAUCGCAUCGAAAACACACCCCCUUCGCCCUUUUAUCCUGAAUCUCUGUCUCUGUGAGGCGUUUGAAAGUCACCCCUAGUCGUGCCCCACUAACCCGAUCCCUUUGGGAAUCUCUCUGUAAACCCAUCAUUUGCAUUUUCUGGCCUCCCGAUGGUGUAUUUUGGAACUCUCGCUGAAACCCCAAAGUCUGAGUUUUCUAUCCUACCAAUGGUGUGCUAUUUCGAUAUGAAAAAUCGACUGACCUGCUCCUAUUAAUCUGUUCUAUUGUGUUCUUAUCCUCAAUCAUCUGUGCCAACUCCAUUGACUCCCCUAACCCUCUCGGCCUUAGCAAGCGUAGCGAGGCUCGGAUUUCUAGCUUCAGUCCCUUCAUAAAAUUCCCUUCCAACACUACCUUUGAGAUGUCCCAUUGACGUCCCGACAACAGCUCAAACUUUUUCCUAUACUCCAUGACCGUUCUCUCCUGGGUCAAGGCAAAAAAUUGUUCAUGCAAAUCCCCUUCUUGAGUGGCCCGAAAUCUCUCCAAUAGCCGGUCCUUAAAUUCACCCCACGACCUCAAUAGUUGUCGUUGUUCUCGCCAUUGAAACCAUGCAAGUACCUUUCCCUCCAAACAUAACGCCGCUGCCAUUAAUUUUUCCCUCUCUGAGAGUUCAUUGAUGGUCAAAUAGCACUCUACCCUAUACACCCAUCCAUAAGCAUCCUCGCCUUCGAAAAUGGGCAUUUUCAGCUUUCUUACCCUCGAAUCCGCUCCAAAUUGAGUCUGACCCGCCCAAUUUCGCGCCAUUAGAGGUCGCCAAACUCCCGAAUCUACUCUAGUGUCUACAAAUCCCGAAGACCCAACCCAAAAUUCUCCUUGCCCAGCCCCAUAUUGGGCUGAAAUCCCUCGCCCAACUGCAUUCCGGUCAUAACCGCUCCCUUUCUUGCAGGUAACCCCUCUUCCUGGCCAUCCGCCCCUAAAUACAACCUGUCCAGACCUAAAAUCGCCCUGCCCAACCCAAAAUUCGGCCUGCCCAGGCCGUGUGUCACCCCCAAAUGCCGCCAAGUCGCCAAGCCCGUCCACCCCCGAAUCUCGCGCACCCCAUUCCGAUGCCGAAGCACCGAUUCCCAAUCCUAAACUGCCUCCUCCAGCCGCGUAACCCUCAGAUCCACCGCCCCCAGUCGCAACCCAGCCUCCUUCGCCACACCCAACACCAGGAAAGGCUCCCCUAGGCCGUAAGUCCCCUAGGCUAACCUCCCCGCCACCAAAUCCGCCGUGAACUGUUGCCCAUGGCUGUGCAAGACUGGUGGUUUUCGACCCUCCGCAAUCUGUGCCGUUGCCGAGCACGGGUUUCGUGUCGCCCGAUCCUUCUACCACCACACUGUCUUGGCCUGUUGAUACUGCCAAUGGUGGGUUGAGGUGGAGUUCUAUCAAUUUCAACAACAUGGCUUCAAGGGAUGAAAAUUUUUGUUGAACGUUAUUAAAUCGCUCGUCAAUGGUGGCCUUGAGCGAUCCAAUCUCCGCUUCCAAUUUUUCUUCAAGUGCGUCCACUUUCUUUGAUGCCAUUGUCUCAGGAUUCUUGCUCUGAUACCACUUUGAUAGGACUUAGGGCUAAAUUAAGACUGACUUUUAUUGAUUAAAUCAAAAGAAAACUAACAAUCAAUCCUGACCUACAAUUCGAGAGGUAGGUCAAUCUCUCCCAAAACUCCUAAUGGUUCCUAAUACCAGACAAUACUCAACAUAAACCCUAAAUGACUCCAUAAUCUCUUAUUUAUAGCUAAACCCUAAUUAAUAAUAAAGUUACUAAAUUGCCCCUGCCCCUAAAAUUACUAAACAGCCCCUGCUCUUUUAUAUUUGCGCCUAACAUAAGUUUUCAUGGGUCUAACAGAUUCAUUCCUAUGGUAGAUAAUAUAAUCUAAUUUUAAUAAGCUUGGUUUUUGAAGGGACUUCAGAUCCCUGAGCAUUUUGGCACCAAAUGUUACAGAUGCUGCAAUUUUCUAUAGAACCCUUACCUCACUGUGACCCUAUGGAUAAGAUCACUUAGCUUCCUUUAGGGGCCUUGAAUCAGCC